rnacentral:lncRNA from 1 species
UCUUUCUUCUUGUUUAUCAAACUACUUGUAAUAGGUUGUUGGUGAACCCGUAAAACCAACAUAGGUUCGUUGGUGAGCCCGUAAAACCAACAUAGGUUUUUGGUGAACCCGGAAAACCAAAGUGUAUAGGUUCGUUGGUGAGCCCGUAAAACCAACAAAGGUUUUUGGUGAACCCGGAAAACCAAAGUGUAAAGGUUCGUUGGUGAGCCCGUAAAACCAACAAAGGUUUUUGGAUUGUGAGCCCGGAAAACAAUCCAACUGUAAUCCGCGGGAUUAUAGUGAAUUCCCAAGGGGGCGCUUGGGGAGUGGACGUAGGUACUAAGGAGAGCACCGAACCAUUAUAUAUUGUUGUGUUUGUGUUGUGCUUGUGCUUACGUUUAUUCUUGCAUCAUCUUCUAUCUUUGCACUAGUUUAAAUCAUUCAAAUGGUUUAAGGAAGCAUCCACCGCACUUAAUUAAGAAACGUUUA